CGAUAGCUGUGUACGUAUUUUGCUAUAUAAAUCAAUAUUAUUCAUAGAUUCAUCGUAACAUCAUGCUCAGCAUUCGCCCAGACUCCGCCCCUACAGCAACUGUGGGCGGAGAUAUCUCACUCUCCUAGCAGACGACGCAUUUCGCAUCACCAUACUGCCCUCUUCAUUUUCCUCCGUUAUUUUAUGUUUCUGUUAUUAUUAUGUUGUGUAAACAUGAAAUUGUGAUAUAUAUCCAUAUUUUAUGAUAUUAUUCAUAGAUUCUUCAUAAUAUCAUUCUAGCCAAAGUUCGUUUAGAUGCAGUUAAUGUUUUUACAAAAGAACCUGAAUGUUACCUUGCCCAUGACAAUUACAUGAAUUAAUCAUAAUAAUGUGGUGUGUUGUUUCAUAUACGAAUAAUAUUUGUAUUCAUAUAACGUUUAUUACUCAUUUGUAAUCUUUCUUUUGAAACUUAUCUAAAAAUUGUCUGAACUAUUCAGAAAGGAGGUGCCGAGGCAGAGGCACAUUCCUCUGAGUACUAAUAUAAUAAUUCAUUCAUAAUAAAAGGAGAGUUGUGUAAUUCCAUUUUAAUUUUUCAACCACAAAAAUCUUGCACGUGGUGAUUGUUGGUACUGGUUCAAAGUAGCAUGGCAACAAUGAGGUUCCUCGAUUUGAUAACAUCAUCCUGGAAGACACGGCAGACACGGUGGUAAUAGGCUAAGAACAAAUGUUAAAACUGAAGAGGAGGCGAUGAAAUGGAAGGACACGUAUUGUAAGAAAAAUUGCGUGAGUUUCAUCCAUAAGAGUAGUAAAUACACACCGAAGAGGUUGGCUUACCAUAAGAGACUGCGGUGCAUACAUGCAGACCAGCGGCACAAGGGAGUGAGAAAAACUUUUACUGGAUGUCCUGUUGUGAUGGACUUGAAGAUAAAAUUGAACACUGUUAAUACAGUGCGCAAAGACCCCAAAACUGAGACACAUCCCUGUUUUGUAGCAAUCACCGGGGAACACAAUCACAACCAAUCAGCUGCUGCAUUAAAAGAACUGCACGUGCUCCCAGAAACCAGAGAAAAAUUUUUCAAGUACUUUCAUGCAGGAAUGACAGCAGCACAGGCUUCCAGAUUUCAUCAGGAAAAACUGCUUUGAAAUUUGAUUGAUAUGGCAAAUAACGCCAUAAAUCCAACACAGCGAGCUGUGGAACACCUUUGGGAUGUAUGGCGGCAGGAAAAGCACGGCAGUGUUGGUGGGGUUAGAGUAAGUUUACCCAAAUUGAAAAAUAUGCAGCUGACAAUCCAGGUACCAUAAUUGAAAUUCUGAGAGAAGGGGACAACUUCAUUAUUGUUUUAGUAACAGAGUUUAUGCUCAGAGUUCACAAAAAACAUGAGAGAGGCUUGUGAAGUGGUGUUUGUUGACACAACAAGCCAUGUCGA